rnacentral:rRNA from 1 species
CCAAUAGCGUAUAUUAAAGUUGUUGCAGUUAAAAAGCUCGUAGUUGAAUUUCGGGAUCAAUAUGUCGGUCGUGCCUUUGGUACGUACUGGCAUUAUUGGUUUCUCUCUUCUGAAGAACCUUGAUGUCAUUAAUUUGGUGUCUUGGGAAAUCAGGACUGUUACCUUGAAAAAAUUAGAGUGUUUAAAGCAGGCCCACGCUUGAAUACCUUAGCAUGGAAUAAUGAAAUAGGACGUUUGAUUCUAUUUUGUUGGUUUCUAGGAUCGACGUAAUGAUUAAUAGGGAUAGUUGGGGGCAUUAGUAUUCAAUUGUCAGAGGUGAAAUUCUUGGAUUUAUUGAAGACUAACUACUGCGAAAGCAUUUGCCAAGGAUGUUUUCAUUAAUCAAGAACGAAAGUUAGGGGAUCGAAGACGAUCAGAUACCGUCGUAGUCUUAACCAUAAACUAUGCCGACUAGGGAUCGGAUGAUGUUAAUUUUUUAAUGACUCAUUCGGCGCCUUACG